ACCUGGCUGGCUCAGUCAGUAGAGCAUGUGACUCUUGAUCUUGGGGUUGUGAGUUUGAGCCCCAUGUUGGGUG
rnacentral:tRNA from 1 species